AGCAGCCGCGGUAAUUCCAGCUCCAAUAGCGUAUAUUAAAGUUGUUGCAGUUAAAAAGCUCGUAGUUGAAUUUCGGGAUCAAUAUGCUGGUCGUGCCAUUGGUACGUACUAGUAUUAUUGGUUUCUUCCUUCCGAUGAAUCAUGAUGUCAUUAAGUUGAUGUCAUGGGGAAUCAGGACUGUUACUUUGAAAAAUUAGAGUGUUUAAAGCAGGCUCGCGCUUGAAUACAUUAGCAUGGAAUAAUGAAAUAGGACGUUUGAUUCUAUUUUGUUGGUUUCUAGGAUUGACGUAAUGAUUAAUAGGGAUAGUUGGGGGCAUUAGUAUUCAAUUGUCAGAGGUGAAAUUCUUGGAUUUAUUGAAGACUAACUACUGCGAAAGCAUUUGCCAAGGAUGUUUUCAUUAAUCAAGAACGAAAGUUAGGGGAUCGAAGACGAUCAGAUACCGUCGUAGUCUUAACCCAUAAACUAUGACCGACUAGGGAUCGGAUGGAUGUUAAUUUUUUAAUGUACU
rnacentral:rRNA from 1 species